GGUCUAUCGAUUUUCGGUGUCUUUAUCGAAAUGGUUUUAAAAAGUAUUAUAGGAAGGUUGAAAACUACUGUUGAUUAGAUUUGGAAAAAUUCAGCUCUGGGAAUGUGUGUAUAUAUUCGCAGAUAUAUUAUUUAAGAAGUAAGUCUGCACCAGGGGAACAUAUUAUAUAGAAUUCAACGAAACAUAUUCGUUUGCCUUUUCGAAAACUAUUGUACAGAAUUCUUGACGUGUUAAGUUGGUAAGCUAUAUCAAAUCAGCGUAUUUUUUCUUUUGACAGCACAUGAUUAAAAAAAUGUCUGUGGUCCCUUUUUUAAGAAGUAGUUGCAUUGAGAAAUCCCAGAUUAACUAUUCUUCUUCAGUACACUAAUCCUGCUGUCAAUCGGGUGGACGAAACGUUUUCUGUGUGUUGAAAUCAGUGCCUUGUGCUGCAUGUGUAUGAAAGUUCAAUUGUACAAUAGUUUCCACUUUCCACUCUGCAGACAUUGUGCACUAUCAGUUAGUAUUCCGCUACUACAUUGCAUGCUCACUGUCUCGUCAGCCUUGUUUGCAUGCCCAUUCUGUAUUUUUUUGCGACACACGUGCACCUUCCUUGUCAAUGAUUCUUUUUAAUCCAACUCGUUGAAACAGCCUGGCUUAGUGCUGACACCUAUCUUAUUUUUUUAUGCUUUUCUUUUAUUUUUGGGAACAAAUUUCCGCGUUUGCUACGACAUGGAUGGUGUAAAUCUAGCAAUCUUCUGGGGGACUGUCGAAAGUCCCAUCACAGAACCAGUGUCAUUAAGAGUACAUAAUCACUAUAUUU